rnacentral:rRNA from 1 species
GACGAACGCUGGCGGCGUGCUUAACACAUGCAAGUCGAACGAAGUGGCGCACGGGGGAGUAACGCGUAAUCAACCUGCCCUUCAGAGGGGGACAACAGUUGGAAACGACUGCUAAUACCGCAUACUGAAGGCGGGGAUUGAGUCUGAUUCGAGAGUUGGAGGGGUAACGGCCCACCAAGGCGCUGAUCAGUAGCCGGCCUGAGAGGAUGAACGGCCAAAUUGGGACUGAGACACGGCCCAGACUCCUACGGGAGGCAGCAGUGGGGAAUCUUCCGCAAUGGACGAAAGUCUGACGGAGCAACGCCGCGUGAGUUAUGACGGCCUUCGGGUUGGAAAGCUCUGUUAAUCGGUACGCGGUACCGGAAUAGAAAGCCACGGCUAACUACGUGCCAGCAGCCGCGGUAAUAC